rnacentral:rRNA from 2 species
GCGAGUGGCGGACGGGUGAGGAAUACAUCGGAAUCUACCUUUUCGUGGGGGAUAACGUAGGGAAACUUACGCUAAUACCGCAUACGACCUUAGGGUGAAAGCGGAGGACCUUCGGGCUUCGCGCGGAUAGAUGAGCCGAUGUCGGAUUAGCUAGUUGGCGGGGUAAAGGCCCACCAAGGCGACGAUCCGUAGCUGGUCUGAGAGGAUGAUCAGCCACACUGGAACUGAGACACGGUCCAGACUCCUACGGGAGGCAGCAGUGGGGAAUAUUGGACAAUGGGCGCAAGCCUGAUCCAGCCAUGCCGCGUGGGUGAAGAAGGCCUUCGGGUUGUAAAGCCCUUUUGUUGGGAAAGAAAAGCAGUCGGUUAAUACCCGAUUGUUCUGACGGUACCCAAAGAAUAAGCACCGGCUAACUUCGUGCCAGCAGCCGCGGUAAUACGAAGGGUGCAAGCGUUACUCGGAAUUACUGGGCGUAAAGCGUGCGUAGGUGGUUGUUUAAGUCCGUUGUGAAAGCCCUGGGCUCAACCUGGGAAUUGCAGUGGAUACUGGGCAACUAGAGUGUGGUAGAGGAUGGCGGAAUUCCCGGUGUAGCAGUGAAAUGCGUAGAGAUCGGGAGGAACAUCUGUGGCGAAGGCGGCCAUCUGGACCAACACUGACACUGAGGCACGAA